AUGAGGACUUACAUCCUUUGUUUGGCAAGUCUGGUCUCGUUGGUAUGCUCAUUAUCUGCACAAACGAAAACUAAAGGCGAGAUCAAAGUCAAUGGAAAUGAAGUUGUGGACUGCAUUAACAGAAAAUGUGCCAUCUCUGUUCCAAGGCUGGGUCUCUAUAUUCCAAAAAUCAAAAUCCCACGACGCAAAAAUCAAAUUAUUCUGAGACCUUCAUUUGGUGAAAGGAUCUACCACUUGAAAAACAAUGGUUCAUGAGUGUAUUGCAGAGACAUGUACUCGGUGGCCCAUCCUGGCAAUAAAUUAAACUAAUAAUAAUUCAU